CCUACGGGUGGCAGCAGUGGGGAAUAUUGGACAAUGGGCGAAAGCCUGAUCCAGCCAUGCCGCGUGAGUGACGAAGGCCUUAGGGUUGUAAAGCUCUUUUGGCGGGGACGAUAAUGACGGUACCCGCAGAAUAAGCCCCGGCUAACUUCGUGCCAGCAGCCGCGGUAAUACGAAGGGGGCUAGCGUUGUUCGGAAUCACUGGGCGUAAAGCGCACGUAGGCGGACUGGUCAGUUGGGGGUGAAAUCCCGGGGCUCAACCCCGGAACUGCCUUCAAUACUGCUAGUCUUGAGUCCGAGAGAGGUGAGUGGAAUUCCUAGUGUAGAGGUGAAAUUCGUAGAUAUUAGGAAGAACACCAGUGGCGAAGGCGGCUCACUGGCUCGGUACUGACGCUGAGGUGCGAAAGCGUGGGGAGCAAACAGGAUUAGAUACCCUAGUAGUC
rnacentral:rRNA from 1 species